UACGUAGGGGGCAAGCGUUGUCCGGAAUCAUUGGGCGUAAAGAGCGCGUAGGCGGACCUGCAAGUCGGGGGUGAAAGCCCGAGGCUCAACCUCGGAACUGCCUUCGAUACUGCGGGUCUCGAGUCCGGGAGAGGUGAGUGGAAUUCCUAGUGUAGAGGUGAAAUUCGUAGAUAUUAGGAAGAACACCAGUGGCGAAGGCGGCUUGCCAGAACGCGCUCGACGGUGAGGGAUGAAAGCUGGGGGAGCAAACCGGG
rnacentral:rRNA from 1 species